CGAGUACGAAGCUUGGAAAAGUUGUGGAAUUAGUUCGAACGAUUUUAUUUUCGAAAACGAACGUUUUUAGGGGGUCAACAAAGUUGACUUUUUAUACGUUCAAAAUUUGGGAAAACUUCCUUCAUGAAAGUUGUAGAGCUCGUCGAUACGAGUUCGUGGACAUGUGGAACGCAUUAUUUGGAGUUCGUAUGAAUAAGUUAUGAAUAUUUUAAAAUUGAGAAUUUUCUAUAAAUACAAAAAAUCAGAUUUCUCAAUAAGGAAACCCGAAAAUUUCCAGAUUUUUCUCCUCCUCGCUGCCUUGGCUUCACGGCGUCGCCACGACUUCAUCCGGCCACCUAUGGCCAUGAAAUUGAUAUCAAUCUCUUCGCCUUGAAACCAGCUUUCCAUUCAUAUAUGUCUUGCAUCCUAUCAUUCACCAUAGACAACGAAUCGAAGCAAAGAAGGUCAGACCAUUUUUCAUGCAUUUCUUCAAAUUCCAGCCAACUCCGGCAAAGGUAGGAGGGGAGACCAACUGGGCUUUGUUCGCCUUGCCAUGCUCUAUAAACUCACCAAGUUUCACAUCUCGAUUCAACCCGAGGAAGACGAAUUUCAGAUUUGAGCGAUUUUGGGCGAUUUCGGCCUCUUUCUUCUUGAGGUGAUUGGCGGAUUGAUUUGGCGGACGAUUCGUAAAAUCGUUGUUGAGCUGUUUAGAAGACGCAACGGGAAUUAGAGCGGGUAAUCCUACAGGACAGGAGAACCAGGACGGUGAUCGUGCGGUUAGAGCAAUUGUUAGAGUUUUACAACAAUUGUAAGUUGUGAGGUGUGUUAUGCUCAUUUGAGCUUUAUAAUAUAUUGUGAGAGUGAAUUGUAAUAAUGAACUCGAAGUUUCGAGAUUUGUUUUUUUGUAAUUGUAAUUAUUCAGGUUUCGGAUUUGAAUUUAUCAUUCAAAAUCCGGGGCGUGACAGUUUGGUAUCAGAGCGUAAGGUGCAUAUUUGGUGAUGUGUCAAUACCUUCCGAGUGAUGGCCCGUCUGCAGCGGAUCCCCAUCGUGUGCUCUUUGGUAUUGGCUAAGUCAUUGGGUAUGCGUGAGUGUUGGGAGUUGUUUAGGCCGCUAGGUCGUUUAGGGAACGUGAAUACAUUCCCUAUAGUAUUGACUUGGUUAAUAUGAAUUUGUAUUUGACUUAUACUGUGUUUUAAGUGUUAUACAAGUAUUAGCCAAGCAUACUAUACUCCUUAGGUGAUGGAUAUUCGAAGGGGUUGUACUUAGAACCUUACAGUUGUCUUGUAGGUUCGUAUGAGAAUAAGUUCAGUGGCCGCGAGUUACAAUCCUUGAGGAAUAGGAACCUCUUGAUUCAACUCUGUUAAGUCAACGAGGAUUGUUUUAUGGAAAUGAGGUUCUUUUGAUUGUUGAAGUGUUUGGUUGAAGGCAUGGUCUGGACCUAUGCUCGUCUGUAAUGUGGAUACGAGUAUUAAUCGAUGGUAAUUUUGCCUUUUUAAGUUGGAUAUACUAAUGUUCUUGAAUAGAUUCUUGACUCAUGUGGAGUUGUGAGUAGUGUUGCGGUUAGGGAAGGAAUUAUUGCGGUUACUUCUUCCUUGUGCUUGUAAGUUGUUAAGCAGGGUUUAAGGUGCGAGACAAGAAUUUUAUUUUGUGCUCGAUGGUUAGAGA